GACGUAGGGCGCGAGCGUUGUCCGGAUUAUUGGGCGUAAAGAGCUCGUAGGCGGCUUGUUACGUCGACUGUGAAAACCGACCGGCUCAACCGUGUGGUCUGCAGUCGAUACGGGCAGGCUAGAAUUCGGUAGGGGAGACUGGAAUUCCUGGUGUAGCGGUGAAAUGACGCAGAUAUCAGGAGGAACACCGGUGGCGAAGGCGGCCCCACUGGAUCGGUACUGACGCUGAGGUGCGAAAGCGUGGGGAGCAAACAGG
rnacentral:rRNA from 1 species